rnacentral:lncRNA from 1 species
CCCGACUUCUUCUUCCUUUCCAUCGCUUGUCGGACCCCGACACUAAGGCCGCCUCAACUGCUGAAAUUUGCCGCUCGUCAGGUUCUCGAACCAGAUCCAGAUAUCUGGGAUCCAUUAGAAUUCGGAUCUAAUAUUUCAAGGUCAGAUCCAUUGGAUAUUCAUAUCCGAAUCUAAUACCAAUAAUGAAGAUCGAGUCUGGAUCUGAAUAUC